rnacentral:rRNA from 1 species
UACGUAGGGUGCAAGCGUUGUCCGGAAUUAUUGGGCGUAAAGAGCUCGUAGGCGGUCUGUCGCGUCGGAUGUGAAAACCCAGGGCUUAACCCUGGGCCUGCAUUCGAUACGGGCAGACUAGAGUUCGGUAGGGGAGACUGGAAUUCCUGGUGUAGCGGUGAAAUGCGCAGAUAUCAGGAGGAACACCGGCGGCGAAGGCGGGUCUCUAGGCCGACACUGACGCUGAGGAGCGAAAGCGUGGGGAGCGAACAGG